UUUAAAUUUUUGCAAUAGACGUUGGAUGACGUGGUAGAGCUGCCAACUGGAGUACUGCAUCAUUGCGCCACGUGGAAUAUGCGAAAGCGUUGUAGCGUGACGUGUCGUGUCGUAUGAAUGUCGAGUGCAGUAGAAUACGUUUCAUCUUGGGAAUUUGUGGCUUCGGUGGAAUCUUGGGGUAUGGUGGAUUUGGUGGAAUCGGAGAGCAGUUUUCCUACUGC
rnacentral:lncRNA from 1 species